AAUGAACGUUGGCGGCGUGGAUUAGGCAUGCAAGUCGAGCGCUCAUAGCAAUAUGGGAGCGGCGAACGGCGUAGUAAUAUGUAGGAACGUACCCUCGGGUCGGGGAUAGCCAUGGGAAACUGUGGGUAAUACCCGAUAAUCUCUGCGGAGCAAAGGUGUGAUUCCGCCUGAGGAGCGGCCUACACGAUAUUAGCUAGUUGGUAGGGUAAUGGCCUACCAAGGCUACGAUGUCUAGGGGGUGUGAGAGCAUGGCCCCCACGACCGGAACUGAGAUACUGUCCGGACACCUACGGGUGGCUGCAGUCGAGAAUCUUCCGCAAUGGACGAAAGUCUGACGGAGCGACGCCGCGUGCGGGAUGAAGGCCCUUGGGUUGUAAACCGCUGUCAGAGGGGAUGAAAUCUUCGGAGGUGCUCCUCCAAAGUUGACAGAGCCUCAAAGGAAGCACGGGCUAAGUACGUG
rnacentral:rRNA from 1 species